rnacentral:lncRNA from 1 species
CUCCCAGCACCCCUCACCCAACACACAUAUACCCAGCUCCUCUUUCUCUCUCCUGGACUUUCUCUUGUCCCUCCAAGCUCCUCCUCUACUUUCCAUCCAGCACUUCCAGUGGGGACCCAGGGAGAGAAGGCUGACUAACUGGUUUGGCCAGCUAUCAGCAGGCAGAGAGGAAAUCUGGCUAAGGAUGCUGCUUGUAAUUCCAUCUUCUGAGCUUAUGCCACUCUAUUCAGGAACCAGCUCCCUUCCUUCUUUGCCCGGAUGGACACAAAAGUCUCGCACCUGGUCUUCCUGUUUGGACCCUCUCCCAGCCAUUCUCCAUACUGUACAGUGGGAUCAUUUAAAAAUACAAAUGUGAUUCUGUGGGUCCCUUGCAAAUGACCUCAAUGGCUGAUUGUAGCUCUGUGGCUGAAGAUCCAAAUGGAGGGGGAAAAAAAGACAGAAUUAACAAACCAGAGUGAUUCAGCAAGUUACAUCAUUGUCGCAGGACACACCAGAUUGCAACAACGAAACAGUAUGGUCCUAUAAAAACUGGUGCUCUUUUUGUCCAGAAAUUGUGUUGGCUUGCUGUGUCCUGUUGCUAACUAAGAAUAAAGAGUGGCCCACACAUUGCAUCUUCCCGUGGUGAUGGGAGGAGAUGAGGAAGGUGCUUGUGGGUGGCAGCACUGUGCAUCUUUCUCCCUCCAGGGUGGG